rnacentral:rRNA from 1 species
AGAGUNNNNUCCUGGCUCAGAUUGAACGCUGGCGGCAGGCUUAACACAUGCAAGUCGAGCGGUAGCACAAGGGAGCUUGCUNCCUGGGUGACGAGCGGCGGACGGGUGAGUAAUGUCUGGGAAACUGCCUGAUGGAGGGGGAUAACUACUGGAAACGGUAGCUAAUACCGCAUAACGUCGCAAGACCAAAGAGGGGGACCUUCGGGCCUCUUGCCAUCAGAUGUGCCCAGAUGGGAUUAGCUAGUAGGUGGGGUAAUGGCUCACCUAGGCGACGAUCCCUAGCUGGUCUGAGAGGAUGACCAGCCACACUGGAACUGAGACACGGUCCAGACUCCUACGGGAGGCAGCAGUGGGGAAUAUUGCACAAUGGGCGCAAGCCUGAUGCAGCCAUGCCGCGUGUGUGAAGAAGGCCUUCGGGUUGUAAAGCACUUUCAGCGAGGAGGAAGGUGGUGAACUUAAUACGUUCAUCAAUUGACGUUACUCGCAGAAGAAGCACCGGCUAACUCCGUGCCAGCAGCCGCGGUAAUACGGAGGGUGCAAGCGUUAAUCGGAAUUACUGGGCGUAAAGCGCACGCAGGCGGUUUGUUAAGUCAGAUGUGAAAUCCCCGGGCUCAACCUGGGAACUGCAUUUGAAACUGGCAAGCUAGAGUCUCGUAGAGGGGGGUAGAAUUCCAGGUGUAGCGGUGAAAUGCGUAGAGAUCUGGAGGAAUACCGGUGGCGAAGGCGGCCCCCNGGACGAAGAC